AUGCAACGGAAGAGUCAGAACGACCGUUUAACUUAAAGAUACAAUUCUACCGAGACCAAAAAGCAGGACAGCUUAUGAGUGAAUCCACUCAUUCAUUCAAGUCACUCCCCCAUCUGUCCAUGUGUUACCAACACACAGAAGCCACUGCGUUCAGGCAGGACUAACCAUGCUGGCCCUGAGGGGUCAGCUUUCACUCGGCGGGCCUGGAGUCGGGCCGCUGUGACAUUUCUCCUUGCUCCUGUGGACACUGCUCUGAGGUACAUUUGACAAGGGUACUUGGGACAAUGUUAGGCGUUGCUUUCACAUCCUGCUUGCCUUGUUAAUUCGACACCUUGAACUCUACGCCAUGUAGCCACAGGAUUUCGGUAAGAUUCCAUAUCAUCCUUUCUCGGGCCUCUGCUCACAGAGGUACUACGACCAACUAAGACAACCACGUGACCAGCUGGUGCAGAGAGACGGUUUGUGGGGAGCUUGGGUCGUCCCUGCGUCGCGGGGGAGGGCUGACGCCCACGCGGACGGGAGACUCCUUACAGAAUCACCCGGGUCGCUCUGCGUCAGUGGCAACAGGCAGACUUUAGCGUAAACAGAAGCAGGUCUUUCUUGUGACACAGCCCACAGCCAGCCCCUGCACAGCCCGGGAGCCUGAGGCAGGUCUAUGCAGGGGGUGCUACACAAAUCAUUUUUGUUCUCCCCCAAAAGAGCCGUCACUGUUCCCAGUGCUGGUACUGAGGCGGGAGCUCAGAGCGGAGGGAGUCCGACAAGCACGUGAGACUCGACUAUGUCUGACUCACUGCAUCUGUGCAGACGGGAUCUCUAACUGCUGAACAGCUGAAUGAGCUGCAAACUUUCUCAGUUUCUCACACUCUCUGUGUUAUGUAAGUCGUUCAUUCACUCAGUCAUCCGAUUUCUGUCCUUAUACCAAAGGGAGGGAUCAGCUGCUGCUUAGAGGUAUCUGCGUCGUCCCUCCGUCCCUCCCUCUUUCCUUCCAGUGAGAAAAAGUCACCAUCACUAGUUAAGUCCCGCCCCCCCUGCCCCCACUGUUGACGUGGCUCUUCCUGUCAGAUCUUUAGUUGAUGUGAGAUUAAGGUAAGGGGACAAUUCUUGCAAAAACUCAUUUUUUUCAGAGUGAAAUCAUGUCAUGGAUAUUCCAGAGGGCAUUCUAGCUUUUUCCAUUCUCUUUUGUUACCGAUUUUGACACAAAAAUAAGCCUGAAUAAUGUUUGCUCAAGCUAAAGAAAGAUAAUACCAGCGAGUCCUGGAUGUUCUGGUUUAACAAGCAUCUGAAUUAAAAUGUAAAGAAGUUAAUUUGUUCAAACUGUCUAUAUCCUCAUUUACGUUUCCUUGACCAACAUCGUCUAUUAAAGUGUUUGAUUAUAAGUGU